UACGUAGGGUGCAAGCGUUGCUCGGAAUCAUUGGGCGUAAAGAGCGUGUAGGUGGCUAGAUAAGUCAGAUGUGAAAUCCCUCGGCUCAACCGAGGAAGUGCAUUUGAAACUAUAUAGCUCGAGGAUGGCAGAGGAAGGUGGAAUUCCUAGUGUAGAGGUGAAAUUCGUAGAUAUUAGGAGGAAUACCGGUGGCGAAGGCGGCCUUCUGGACCAUUCCUGACACUGAGACGCGAAAGCGUGGGUAGCAAACAGG
rnacentral:rRNA from 1 species